AAGAAAGUGGCAGAGCGGUGAUGUAGUCGGCUUGAAACCGGCCAAUGGGGGUUCAACUCCUCCCUUUCUCG
rnacentral:tRNA from 1 species